GAAAUGCGAUAAUUAAUGUGAAUUGCAGAAUUCAGUGAAUCAUCGAGUCUUUGAACGCACAUUGCGCCCCCUGGUAUUCCGGGGGGCAUGCCUGUCCGAGCGUCAUUGCUGCCCUCAAGCACGGCUUGUGUGUUGGGCUUCCGUCCCUGGCAACGGGGACGGGCCCAAAAGGCAGUGGCGGCACCAUGUCUGGUCCUCGAGCGUAUGGGGCUUUAUCACCCGCUCCCGUAGGUCCAGCUGGCAGCUAGCCUCGCAACCAAUCUUUUUAACCAGGUUGACCUCGGAUCAGGUAGGGAUACCCGCUGAACUUAAGC
rnacentral:misc_RNA from 1 species